rfam:Schistosoma rodhaini strain Burundi genome assembly, scaffold: SROB_scaffold0004915
GCACAGCCGAGGAGUCCCAUAAUCAGACGAAACGGCCGUCCAGUGC